GACGAACGCUGGCGGCGUGCCUAACACAUGCAAGUCUACGAGAAAAGGGUAGCAAUAAUCCUGAGUAAAGUGGCGCACGGGUGAGUAACACGUAGGCAAUCUGCCUUCAGGACGGGAACAACCCCGAGAAAUCGAGGCUAAUACCCGAUAAUGCAGCGACACCGCAUGGUGACAGUUGUUAAAUGCCCGCAAGGGCGCCCGAAGAUGAGCCUGCGCCCCAUUAGGAGUUGGUGAGGUAACGGCCCACCAAGCCUACGAUGGGUAGCUGAUCUGAGAGGAUGAUCAGCCACACUGGAACUGAGACACGGUCCAGACU
rnacentral:rRNA from 1 species